rnacentral:rRNA from 1 species
UACGUAGGGGGCAAGCGUUGUCCGGAUUUAUUGGGCGUAAAGAGCUCGUAGGCGGCUUGUCGCGUUCGUCCGUGAAAACUUGGGGCUCAACCCCAAGCUUGCGGUCGAUACGGGCAGGCUAGAGUUCGGUAGGGGAGACUGGAAUUCCUGGUGUAGCGGUGAAAUGCGCAGAUAUCAGGAGGAACGACCGGUGGCGAAGGCGGGUCUCUGGGCCGAGUACUGACGCUGGAGACGCGAAAGCGUGGGAGCGAACAGGAUUAGAAACCCUAGGU